UGGGGAAUAUUGGACAAUGGGCGAAAGCCUGAUCCAGCCAUGCCGCGUGUGUGAAGAAGGUCUUCGGAUUGUAAAGCACUUUAAGUUGGGAGGAAGGGCAGUAAGCGAAUACCUUGCUGUUUUGACGUUACCGACAGAAUAAGCACCGGCUAACUCUGUUCCAGCAGCCGCGGUAAUACAGAGGUUGCAAGCGUUAAUCGUAAUUACUGGGCGUAAAGCGCGCGUAGGUGGUUCGUUAAGUUGAAUGUGAAAGCCACGGGCUCAACCUGGGAACUGCAUCCAAAACUGGCGAGCUAGAGUAGGGCAGAGGGUGGUGGAAAUUCCUGUGUAGCGGUGAAAAGCGUAGAUAUAGGAAGGAACACAAGUGGCGAAGGCGACCACAUGGGGUCAUACUGACAAUGAGGUGAGAAAGAGUGGGGAGCAAACAGG
rnacentral:rRNA from 1 species